ACCUACCCGCGCUCUCGGCGCCAGGUCACCGGAUUUGCGGGAAAUCUCACGUCCACGACUUUUAAAGCGGCCGCGGGGUUUCGGGGGCGGUUACUGAAGCCUGUGGACCCGCCCUGCCUGCGGUGCUGAACCGCGGGCACCCGGAAGCCCGGACCGCGAUGCUCAAAGCGGCGGUGGGGCUGCAGCAACGCAUCCCGGCGGUGGAAGGCGGCGGAGAGAGCUCUCCAGAUGAGAGCACCCUUCCCAACGACGGAGGUCUUGGAAAAGGAUGUGGCUUUCUCCGAGGAGCAACAAGUUAUGGCUUCCCUGGUGGCGCAGUGGUUAAGAAUCCGCCUGCCAAUGCAGGGGACACAAGUUCAAGCCCUGGCCCGGGAAGAUCCCACAUGCAGCAGAGCAACUAAGCCCGAGCGCGACAACUACUGGGCCUGCGCUGUAGAGCCCGCGGGCCACAACUACUGAGCCCGUGCGCCACAAUUACCGAAACCCGUGAGCCUAGAACCCGAGCUCCGCAACAAGAGAAGCCAUCGCAAUGAGAAGCCCGUGCACUGCAAUGGAAAGUAGACCCCGCUCGCCACAACUAGAGAAAGCCCGCGCGCAGCAACGAAGACCCAACGCAGCCAAAAAAAUAAAUAAAUAAAAAAUUUUAAGUUGUGUAAAAAAACAAAAGAGGGAGUGUGGGAGGGAGACGCAAGAGGGAGGAGAUAUGGAGAUAUAUGUAUAUGUAUAGCCGAUUCACUUUGUUAUAAAGCAGAAACUAACACACAAUUGUAAAGCAAUUAGACUCCAAUAAAGAUGUUAAAAAAAAAAGC